rnacentral:rRNA from 1 species
GAUGAACGCUGGCGGCGUGCCUAAUACAUGCAAGUCGAGCGAACGGACGAGAAGCUUGCUUCUCUGAUGUUAGCGGCGGACGGGUGAGUAACACGUGGAUAACCUACCUAUAAGACUGGGAUAACUUCGGGAAACCGGAGCUAAUACCGGAUGAUAUUUUGAACCGCAUGGUUCAAAAGUGAAAGACGGUCUUGCUGUCACUUAUAGAUGGAUCCGCGCUGCAUUAGCUAGUUGGUAAGGUAACGGCUUACCAAGGCAACGAUGCAUAGCCGACCUGAGAGGGUGAUAGGCGACACUGGAACUGAGACACGGUCCAGACUCCUACGGGAGGCAGCAGUAGGGAAUCUGCCGCAAUGGGCGAAAGCCUGACGGAGCAACGCCGCGUGAGUGAUGAAGGUCUUCGGAUCGUAAAACUCUGUUAUUAGGGAAGAACAUAUGUGUAAGGAACUGUGCACAUCUUGACGGUACCUAAUCAGAAAGCCACGGCUAACUACGUG